rnacentral:rRNA from 1 species
CCUACGGGAGGCAGCAGUGGGGAAUAUUGCACAAUGGGGGGAACCCUGAUGCAGCGACGCCGCGUGAGUGAAGAAGUAUUUCGGUAUGUAAAGCUCUGUCAGCAGGGAAGAAGAAAGACGGUACCUGACCAAGAAGCCCCGGCUAACUACGUGCCAGCAGCCGCGGUAAUACGUAGGGGGCAAGCGUUAUCCGGAUUUACUGGGUGUAAAGGGAGCGUAGACGGCAGGGCAAGUCUGGAGUGAAAGGCAGGGGCCCAACCCCUGGACUGCUCUGGAAACUGUCCGGCUGGAGUGCAGGAGAGGUAAGUGGAAUUCCUAGUGUAGCGGUGAAAUGCGUAGAUAUUAGGAGGAACACCAGUGGCGAAGGCGGCUUACCGGUGCACAACUGACGCUCAGGCACGAAAGCGUGGGUAUCGAACAGGAUUAGAUACCCCUGUAGUC